AGCCAAGAGAGAGAGCCAUUACACUCU
rnacentral:piRNA from 1 species